rfam:Myotis davidii contig104912, whole genome shotgun sequence.
ACCGCUUCUCGGCCUUUUGGCUAAGAUCAAGUGUAGUAUCUGUUCUUAUCAGUUUAAAUAGCCCUAGCUGGUUUGGCUCAGUGGGUAGAGCGUUGGCCUACCGACU